rnacentral:rRNA from 1 species
AUUGAACGCUGGCGGCAGGCCUAACACAUGCAAGUCGAGCGGAUGAAGGGAGCUUGCUCUUGGAUUCAGCGGCGGACGGGUGAGUAAUGCCUAGGAAUCUGCCUGGUAGUGGGGGAUAACGUCCGGAAAGGGGCGCUAAUACCGCAUACGUUCUGAGGGAGAAAGGGGGGGAUCUUCGGACCUCACGCUAUUAGAUGAGCCUAGGUCGGAUUAGCUAGUUGGUGGGGUAAAGGCGUACCAAGGCGACGAUCCGUAGCUGGUCUGAGAGGAUGAUCAGUCACACUGGAACUGAGACACGGUCCAGACUCCUACGGGAGGCAGCAGUGGGGAAUAUUGGACAAUGGGCGAAAGCCUGAUCCAGCCAUGCCGCGUGUGUGAAGAAGGUCUUCGGAUUGUAAAGCACUUUUAGUUGGGAGGAAGAGCAGUAAGUUAAUACCUUGCUGUUUUGACGUUACCAACAGAAUAAGCACCGGCUAACUUCGUG